GACGAACGCUGGCGGCGUGCUUAACACAUGCAAGUCGAACGGUAAGGCUCCAGCUUGCUGGGGUACACGAGUGGCGAACGGGUGAGUAACACGUGGGUGACCUGCCCUGCACUUCGGGAUAAGCCUGGGAAACUGGGUCUAAUACCGGAUAGGACCAUGGUGUGGAUACUGUGGUGGAAAGUUUUUUCGGUGUGGGAUGGGCCCGCGGCCUAUCAGCUUGUUGGUGGGGUAAGGGCCUACCAAGGCGGCGACGGGUAGCCGGCCUGAGAGGGUGGACGGCCACAUUGGGACUGAGACACGGCCCAGACUCCUACGGGAGGCAGCGGUGGGGAAUAUUGCACAAUGGGCGGAAGCCUGAUGCAGCGACGCCGCGUGGGGGAUGACGGCCUUCGGGUUGUAAACUCCUUUCACCAUCGACGAAGGGUUUCUGACGGUAGAUGGAGAAGAAGCACCGGCUAACUACGUG
rnacentral:rRNA from 1 species